UAAUGUUAUUACGAUAUAAUAUCUAACAUUUAAUUUUUUUAAAACUUCCAUCUCAAGUUCUGACACAGAGUGAUACUUAAAAUGCGUUUGUUGCUAAUACUAUGGCUGGUAACUUCCUAUUGCAAUUAUAUACAGGGAAAAUCAAAUGUAUUGUUUGCAAAUGUUACUGGAAGUGGACAAAAUGCCAAAGUUCACGCAACGUGUGUCAGUGAUGAUUACAACGAUGCAAUUGCAUGGAUUACAUUUCCCUUCACCGAGAUGAUUGAACCUAUUUCAGUUAAUAAGACCUUGCGGUAUAUCGAUUUUAAUUGGGGAAAAUAUGAGUGGAACGAAGAAGUAGCCUACAACGCAUCGUUUGGUCCAGUGAUGGAUUAUACUUGGGAAAUGUUACCAAUUAUUAUAACCCGAUCUGCCCAACUGACACAAAAUUAUAAAUUUGAAAAAUUAGAAGAAAUUAAAAUCUGAAAUCAUUUUGAGUUCAAUUUUUCGUUUUUGGGAAAAUCAAGUGCACACAUUUAUUUGUGUUCACAUCCAAUGAUAAAAAGAGGUACAUGUUUUAUUUUUAUUGUUGGUGGGUGGAAUGGACAGGGCAGUGUUAUAAGACGGUGUAGAGAGGGCGCGUCACCAACCAAUUCGGAAGAUAGAUUAAGAGGAUGCGAAAAUAUUGUAAACAAGAUUGAACAUAAAGCAUUAUUUUCAAUUGACAAAUGGAAUCAAAUUUCUAUUCGAUUCAUAAAUCAACAAUUAGAAGUAAUAACCACUGAUAAAAAUUUAUUAUUAUAUCACGCACAAUAUGAUGGAGAAUUUAACAAUUAUACAAACGUAUUUAUUCAUUCAAAUACCGAAA